GCCUGCGCACGCGGGACUCCGUGGUGCAGCAUCGGGUGGAGACGCUCUCGAUGGACACCAUCCUCUACCAGCGCUAGGGUGCCUUGUCGGCCGCCUAUGCCGAGCUCGUCACGCCUCCACCUCGCCAGCACGCCGCCACACCUCCACAUCCUAAGGCUUCGGCGCUCCGACAUGGCUCCACCAGCACCAAGUGUCGACGCCAUCGCCAAGAUGUACUCCUACGCGGCUGCGCUCUCUCCCUUCCGUCGGUAGCCCCGGCGCCGAGUAGCGAUUUGUGUGAGAGGGAAGAGACGAAGACAGGAGGAGGAGGAACACGACUGGUUAUUCUUAAUCACUCUGCUCGAGCUGCUAGGGAAUUGGCAUUAAUCUGCUCGUGAGGGAGUGACAUAUUGAGUAGCACAAGGAGUCGGAAGAUACCUAGGGAAUUCAGCAAACUUCAACAUGUUUGGACAGACAUCAAACACUUCUGAAAGCUCAGAAUCCCCACUAGAUGUGUCUCAAUCAUCUCUAACACGUGUUAGAAGGUCAAAAGUUUGGGAAUACUAUGAGCAGAAUUUAGUGGCAGU